UACGGAGGAUCCGAGCGUUAUCCGGAUUUAUUGGGUUUAAAGGGUGCGCAGGCGGGAGAUUAAGUCGGCGGUGAAAUUUUGCAGCUCAACUGUAAAAGUGCCUUCGAAACUGGUUUCCUUGAGUGUAGAUGAAGUAGGCGGAAUUUGUGGUGUAGCGGUGAAAUGCAUAGAUAUCACGAGGAACUCCGAUUGCGCAGGCAGCUUACUAAACUACUACUGACGCUCAGGCACGAAGGCGUGGGGAGCGAACAGGAUUAGAUACCCGUGUA
rnacentral:rRNA from 1 species